rnacentral:rRNA from 1 species
UUGAGGUUAAGCUACUAAGAGCACACGGAGGAUGCCUAGGCGCUAGGAGUCGAUGAAGGACGUGGCGAACAACGAAACUGCCUCGGGGAGCUGUAAGCAAGCUUUGAUCCGGGGGUGUCCGAAUGGGGAAACCCGGCUGUGGUAAUACGCAGUCACUCCCACCUGAAUACAUAGGGUGGGUAGAGACAGACCAGGGGAACUGAAACAUCUAAGUACCCUGAGGAAGAGAAAACAAUAGUGAUUCCGUCAGUAGCGGCGAGCGAACGCGGAUUAGCCCAAACCAAGGAGCUUGCUCCUUGGGGUUGUGGGACGUCUCACAUGGAGUUACAAAGGAAUAUAUUAAGCGAAGAGGUCUGGAAAGGCCCGGCAUAGAAGGUAAAAGCCCUGUAGCUGAAAAUGUAUUCCCUCCGAGACGUAUCCCGAGUAGUGCGGGGCACGUGAAACCCCGUAUGAAUCCAGCAGGACCAUCUGCUAAGGCUAAAUACUCCCUAGCGACCGAUAGUGAAACAGUACCGUGAGGGAAAGGUGAAAAGCACCCCGGAAGGGGAGUGAAAUAGAACCUGAAACCGUGUGCUUACAAAAAGUCAGAGCCCUAUCUAUGGGUGAUGGCGUGCCUUUUGUAGAAUGAACCGGCGAGUUACGUUCCCGUGCAAGGUUAAGGUGAGAAGCCGGAGCCGCAGCGAAAGCGAGUCUGAAUAGGGCGACAUAUAGUACGUGGACGUAGACCCGAAACCGAGUGAUCUACCCCUGUCCAGGGUGAAGGUGCGGUAACACGCACUGGAGGCCCGAACCCACGCAUGUUGAAAAAUGCGGGGAUGAGGUGGGGGUAGCGGAGAAAUUCCAAUCGAACUCGGAGAUAGCUGGUUCUCCCCGAAAUAGCUUUAGGGCUAGCCUCGGAAUGAAGAGUCGUGGAGGUAGAGCACUGAUUGGGUGCGGGGCCCGCAAGGGUUACCAAGCUCAGUCAAACUCCGAAUGCCAUGUACUUAUAUCCGGGAGUCAGACAGUGAGUGCUAAGAUCCAUUGUCGAAAGGGAAACAGCCCAGACCAUCAGCUAAGGUCCCCAAGUGUGUGUUGAGUGGAAAAGGAUGUGGAGUUGCACAGACAACCAGGAUGUUGGCUUAGAAGCAGCCACCAUUGAAAGAGUGCGUAAUAGCUCACUGGUCGAGUGACUCUGCGCCGAAAAUGUAACGGGGCUAAACACACCACCGAAGCUAUGGCUAGAUGCUAAUCGCAUCUGGGGUAGGGGAGCGUUGUAUAGAGGUUGAAGGUGUACCGUGAGGAGCGCUGGACACUAUACAAGUGAGAAUGCCGGUAUAAGUAACGAAAAGAUCAGUGAGAAUCUGAUCCGCCGAAAGCCCAAGGUUUCCUGAGGAAGGCUCGUCCUCUCAGGGUAAGUCGGGACCUAACGCGAGGCCGAAAGGCGUAGUGGAUGGACAACAGGUUGAAAUUCCUGUACCACCGUAAUCCGUUAUGAGUAAUGGGGUGACGCAGCAGGGUAGUGACGCGGACUGAUGGAAUAGUCCGUCUAAGCAGUGAGGCUUGUGUGUAGGCAAAUCCGCACACUAAUAGGCUGGGCUGUGAUGGGGAGCGAAAAUUAUAGUAGCGAAGGUCAUGAUCUCACACUGCCAAGAAAAGCCUCUAACCAGGAGAAGGUGCCCGUACCGCAAACCGACACAGGUAGGCGAGAAGAGAAUUCUAAGGCGCGCGGAAGAACUCUCGUUAAGGAACUCGGCAAAAUGACCCCGUAACUUCGGGAGAAGGGGUGCCCCGGUAGUGUGAAUAGCACGAGGGGGCCGCAGUGAAAAGGCCCAAGCGACUGUUUAGCAAAAACACAGGUCUGUGCGAAGCCGUAAGGCGAAGUAUACGGGCUGACGCCUGCCCGGUGCUGGAAGGUUAAGGGGAGUGGUUAGGGGAAACCCGAAGCUAUGAACCGAAGCCCCAGUAAACGGCGGCCGUAACUAUAACGGUCCUAAGGUAGCGAAAUUCCUUGUCAGGUAAAUUCUGACCCGCACGAAUGGCGUAACGAUUUGGGCGCUGUCUCAACGAGAGAUCCGGUGAAAUUUUAAUACCUGUGAAGAUGCAGGUUACCCGCGACAAGACGGAAAGACCCCAUGGAGCUUUACUGCAGCUUGAUAUUGAAUUUGGGUACGAUUUGUACAGGAUAGGUGGGAGCCUGAGAAAUAGGAGCGCAAGCUUCUAUGGAGGCGCCGUUGGGAUACCACCCUGAUCGUAUCUAGGUUCUAACCUAGGACCGUAAACCGGUUCGGGGACAGUGUCAGGUGGGCAGUUUGACUGGGGCGGUCGCCUCCUAAAGAGUAACGGAGGCGCCCCAAGGUUCCCUCAGAAUGGUUGGAAAUCAUUCGAAGAGUGCAAAGGCAGAAGGGAGCUUGACUGCGAGACCUACAAGUCGAGCAGGGACGAAAGUCGGGCUUAGUGAUCCGGUGGUACCGCAUGGAAGGGCCAUCGCUCAACGGAUAAAAGCUACCCUGGGGAUAACAGGCUUAUCUCCCCCAAGAGUCCACAUCGACGGGGAGGUUUGGCACCUCGAUGUCGGCUCAUCGCAUCCUGGGGCUGAAGUAGGUCCCAAGGGUUGGGCUGUUCGCCCAUUAAAGCGGUACGCGAGCUGGGUUCAGAACGUCGUGAGACAGUUCGGUCCCUAUCUGUCGUGGGCGCAGGAAAUUUGAGAGGAGCUGUCCUUAGUACGAGAGGACCGGGAUGGACGCACCUCUGGUGUACCAGUUGUUCCGCCAGGAGCAUAGCUGGGUAGCUACGUGCGGACGGGAUAAGCGCUGAAAGCAUCUAAGCGUGAAGCCCCCCUCAAGAUGAGAUUUCCCAAUUAGUAAGACCCCUUGAAGACUACGAGGUAGAUAGGUUGGAGGUGGAAGUGCAGUAAUGCACGGAGCUGACCAAUACUAAUCGGUCGAGGGCUUAUCCUAAA